rnacentral:rRNA from 1 species
CAGUAGCCGCGGGAAUACGUAGGGUGCGAGCGUUAAUCGGAAUUACUGGGCGUAAAGCGUGCGCAGGCGGUUGUGUAAGACAGGUGUGAAAUCCCCGGGCUUAACCUGGGAACUGCGCUUGUGACUGCACAGCUAGAGUAUGGCAGAGGGGGGUGGAAUUCCACGUGUAGCAGUGAAAUGCGUAGAGAUGUGGAGGAACACCGAUGGCGAAGGCAGCCCCCUGGGCCAAUACUGACGCUCAUGCACGAAAGCGUGGGGAGCAAACAGGAUUAGAUACCCGAGUAGUCCCUGUCUCUUUACA